rnacentral:misc_RNA from 2 species
AACGCACAUUGCGCCCCUUGGUAUUCCGAGGGGCAUGCCUGUUCGAGCGUCAUUAUGACCACUCAAGCCUGGCUUGGUAUUGGGGUUCGCGGUCCCGCGGCUCUUAAAAUCAGUGGCGGCGCCAUCUGGCUCUAAGCGUAGUAAUCUUUCUCGCUACAGAGUCCCGGUGGAUGCUUGCCAGCAACCCCUUAUUUUCUUAGGUUGACCUCGGAUCAGGUAGGGAUACCCGCUGAACUUAA